AUCAAUUCUCGGCGUUUUGGCUAAGAUCAAGUGUAGUAUCUGUUCUUAUCCGUUUAAUAUCUGAUACACCCUCUAUUCAAGGACAAUAUAUUAAAUGGAUUUUUGGAGUAGGGAGAUGGAAUAGCAGCUUGCUUCAUCCACUCCACGCAUCGAGCAUCGACCUGGUAUUGCAGUACUUCCAGGAAUGGUGUACCCCCU
ensembl:snRNA U2 U2 spliceosomal RNA